rnacentral:rRNA from 1 species
UCCGUAGGCGGUUUAGUAAGUCAGUGGUGAAAGCCCAUCGCUCAACGGUGGAACGGCCAUUGAUACUGCUGAACUUGAAUUAUUAGGAAGUAACUAGAAUAUGUAGUGUAGCGGUGAAAUGCUUAGAGAUUACAUGGAAUACCAAUUGCGAAGGCAGGUUACUACUAAUUGAUUGACGCUGAUGGACGAAAGCGUGGGGAGCGAACA